GACGGAGGAUGCAAGCGUUAUCCGGAAUGAUUGGGCGUAAAGCGUCCGCAGGUGGCAGUUCAAGUCUGCUGUCAAAGACCGGGGCUUAACUUCGGAAAGGCAGUGGAAACUGAACAGCUAGAGUAUGGUAGGGGCAGAGGGAAUUCCUGGUGUAGCGGUGAAAUGCGUAGAGAUCAGGAAGAACACCGGUGGCGAAAGCGUUCUGCUGGGCUGCGACUGACACUGAGGGACGAAAGCUAGGGGAGCGAAUGGG
rnacentral:rRNA from 1 species